rnacentral:lncRNA from 1 species
UAUGUAUAUAUUCAUGUGAAAAUCCACUACAUGUUAUACUGAGUAAAGUGCAUAUAUAUGUUUCUAAAAGAUAAACUGUGAUGCUGAUAAAGAAAGGGCAAGUUGUAAAAAUUGCAAAUGGUGUACAAAAGGUAAAAAAUGCAUAAUGCACCUCUUGUGUUUGUUUUUGUUGAUACAAGAGUCGCUUUAGGGACUAUGAGUGUGCACUUGCAUUUAUUAUAUGCAGAAUGCAUAGCUCUAAUCUACCGUAAUCAUCACUCUAGCUUAAUGAUUACGCAGAUUGGAAGUUUCAUCUUUAAGACUUUAUGUCAACUAUAAUUAAAAUCCAGACUACACGAUCUUGUUUUUUGAUUAAUGACCCGAGCUUGAUCACCACUUUCAAUUGGAAUCUGGAUGCGUGUGCCAUCUUCCACCGCCUAGUGCACAAAUCCCUACAGUGUUGGCGGCAGCAUCUGCAGAGGCUCUGAGUAUGGAGGUUGUGGAUGAUAAGACUCUCUAACUAGUCGUCAUUUGUUCAGGUUAUGUGGUGGGCAUGCAUUAAAAGCUCUCAUCAAAAGUGUUUGCUAUUG